ACAAUGCUAUUAUGCUUGAAUUUGGGAAGGAAGUGCCGUUUCCCUCAACCUCUGUUGUAAGCAUAUCCGAUGUUAGUGGAGUGACCUGUAAUGGACGUGUUUUCUCGGCUCAGUCGAAAUCCCACGAAAACGUCGUGAAGAGGGAUGUUGUUAGUUCUACCGGUCCCGUGGGGACCUCUUCUUCAAAUCAUUCCAUUCCUGCUGUGAAGGGUGUUGACCUUGUUGUUGUCAAAGCUGAUAAAG
rnacentral:lncRNA from 1 species